GUUUGUUAAACUAUUGACGUUUUGCUAGUUCUCUGUUGGUUCUUUCAACCACAAAGAUCCUCUUGGCUCAUGGGCUCCCAAGUGUGGUGGCCACGCAAGCGUUACGUUCCAUUGAAGGCCCCGGUCUUUAAGUGGGUCAGAUCCAGACUCGCCCGGUUUUCAAAACCGGCCUAGUUAAAAGUUCUAGGGUUUGCAUACAAAUACCGCGAAGCCACAACCAAACGCACCGGUAGACAUAAGUUUUCUUUUUUCUUCGCUGCGCAGAGCCAUCUAGGGUUUCAAGGAGGCUAGGCAGGUUUCUCUCUCUCUGCGACGCCAUGAGAGCCAAGUGGAAGAAGAAGCGUAUGAGGAGGCUGAAGAGGAAGCGCCGAAAGAUGAGGCAGAGAUCUAAGUAGAAGCAGAGUAACAUUGGGGCCUAUGGAGCUCUUUUCCGGCUUUAGGCUCGCUCUCGCUGCCAUUUUUCAUUUCCUCGCUUUAGUUUAUGCCUUUUUGUGGAACAUCUCGUAACGUUUUGUUUUUAUCUUUCAAUUUAUACAUCCUGGCGUAGUGAUUAACUCUGUUAAGCGUUUAAUUUUGCAUUUAUGAAAUGGAUUAUGUGA